rnacentral:misc_RNA from 1 species
GAUGAAGAACGUAGCGAAAUGCGAUACGUAAUGUGAAUUGCAGAAUUCAGUGAAUCAUCGAAUCUUUGAACGCAUAUUGCGCUCUCUGGUAUUCCGGAGAGCAUGCUUGUUUGAGUAUCAGUAAACACCUCAUCUUCCAUAUCUUUUUUGAAAUGGGAGUUGGACUUGAGUGAUCCCAACGCUUUUCCUCACCGAAAAGUGGCGGGUUACUUGAAAUGCAGGUGCAGCUGGACUUUUCUCUGAGCUAUAAGCAUAUCUAUUUAGUCUGCCUAAAAAACAGAUUAUUACCUUUGCUGCAGCUAACAUAAAGGAGAUUAGUUCUUGUGCUGACUGAUGCAGGAUUCACAAAGACAGCUUCGGCCGACUUUGUAAACUCGAUCUCAAAUCAAGUAAGACUACCCGCUGAACUUAAGCAUAUCAAUAAGCGGAGGA